UGAGGGAAAGUUGCAAAGAACUUUGAAGAGAGAGUUCAAGAGUACGUGAAACUGCUCAGAGGCAAACAGGUGGAACCUCGAAAUCCUCUUGCGGAGAGAUUCAGUCGGGAGCGAAUGGGGCGGACGCGGGUAACGGACCCUUAAAAAGGACGGUUCCCGUGCCGUUGUCCACUUCGCACCCGACGCAUUUCUCGCCGCACUCGGGACGCCGCAACGGAUCGGGUAGCUGCGAGAGUCGGCCUUAGGGCGGUCCCUGGCAGGUGGCCGGAUGCUCAGCUUUGUCCGGGCUUCCGGUUAUUCACGGGGCCGUGCGUGGCGCGACACCCGAUCGAGGUCUACGUUCCCUUUGUGGGGAACCUGCCGUCUUCGUCCUCCGAGAUGCGGUGCUCGAGCCAGUGCGCGCCGAGGAUGCCGAACCACCCAGAGCGGUGGCCGGUUCCGCGGUGGCCGUCGAUGGGUUCGAGCUGCCCGCAGGGGACUGUUAGUACGGUCGGCGGCGAGUAGGUCGGUCAUCCACCUGGCCCGUCUUGAAACACGGACCAAGGAGUCUAACAUGUGCGCGAGUCGCAGGGUCUUGAACAGGCCCUCGGGCGCAAUGAAAGUGAAGGUCUUCCGACCGAGUUGGGACUCCCGUUCUCCGUCUGGAGCGGGAAGCACCAACGGCCCGUCCCUUCCGACUCGUCGGUGGGGCGGAGUCAGAGCGUACACGUUGGGACCCGAAAGAUGGUGAACUAUGCCUGGGCAGAACGAAGCCMGAGGAAACUCUGGUGGAGGUUCGGUAGCGGUUCUGACGUGCAWAUCGAUCGGUCANACCCAGG
rnacentral:rRNA from 1 species